GACGAACGCUGGCGGCGUGCUUAACACAUGCAAGUCGAACGGAAAGGCCUGCUUUCCCUUGUGGAUUGCGGGUACUCGAGUGGCGAACGGGUGAGUAACACGUGAGUGAUAUGCCCCCAACAUGGGUAUAAGCCUGGGAAACUGGGGCUAAUUACCGCUAGCACUGCGGGGUGGUGUCUGAGGUGGCAGACGAUUUGCUUGUGGUUGCGGAUGAGCUCGCGGCCUAUGAGCUUGUUGGUUGGGUAAUGGCCUACCAAGGCGGCGACGGGUAGCCGGUCUGGGAGGGUCGGCCGGCGCAGUGGGACGGCGAUAUGGCGCAGACUCCUACGGGAGGCAGCAGUCGGGAGGAAUGCACAAUGGGCGGUAGCCUGAGGCAGCGACGCCGCGUGGGGGAUGACGGCCUUCGGAUUGUAAACUCCUGUCGACCGCGAGGAAGCCACCGGGUCGGAAGGGUGGUGACGGUAGUGGUAGAAGAAGCACCGGCUAACUACGUG
rnacentral:rRNA from 1 species